GCACAGGCUGCUGCCCCAUCAACUGGGGACACAGAGAUUUUAGGGCAGAAGCUUCAGGGAAAGGUUGGGGUGGAGGGAGGGAGUGGGGUGGAGGAUCUCAGUACCUCCAAGCUGGGCCUUUGGGGAGACUCCAGACACAGUCUCUGGGUUGCGGGGUGGAGGUGAGGUUUUCAGGAGAAGAGAAAAGAAAGCACUAGAACUACUCAUAGGUGCAAUGCAUCCCACUCAGCUCACAUUUGUUUACACACCUACGUUUUGCACGCCAAGGUCCAUGCUAAGCCCUGGACAAACCGGUAGAUGAGACUCGAUCUCUGGCAACUCUCUGGGGAGAAGACCCACAACAUGCCCAGGAGGCAGGUGUGGGAGCAGAGGUUCUGACUGCCUGGCCAGGCUGAAAGCACCCUGAGGGCAGAGGUACUUAAGAUAGUGGUUCAAAGUUCCCCCAACAGUGUGACGAGAUGGACUGGGAAGGGACUUCUGGGAGGACUGGAUUUGCUUCUUCACUCAGCCACUCAAAUUCCCAAAGACCAGCUACACAUUCUUUGGCAGUUUCCUGAAGAUGAACUUCAGAUUUUUGUGGAGAGAGUGGAAAAAAAAAACAAGAAAGACAAAAGCAAAGGGUGGGAAGAAGUGAGGCGGAAAGCGACAGAGCGUGUGCACUCACACGCACACCACGCCUGGCAAUAAGGAAGUG
rnacentral:lncRNA from 1 species